AACUUAAUAUUCGGGAGCUUGUGUACAGGCUGAGAGGGAGUGUAAACUUCGACCGUACCUGAUUUGGAUAAUGCCAACGUAGGAAGUAGAUUUAUAUAAUUA
rnacentral:ncRNA from 1 species